rnacentral:rRNA from 1 species
AGUGAACGCUGGCGGCAGGCCUAAUACAUGCAAGUCGAACGGCAGCACAGCAGAGCUUGCUCUGUGGGUGGCGAGUGGCGGACGGGUGAGGAAUACAUGGGAAUCUGCCCAGUCGUGGGGGAUAACGUAUGGAAACGUACGCUAAUACCGCAUGCGCCCUACGGGGGAAAGCCGGGGACCGAAAGGCCUGGCGCGAUUGGAUGAGCCCAUGUUCGAUUAGCUAGUUGGCGGGGUAAAGGCCCACCAAGGCGACGAUCGAUAGCUGGUCUGAGAGGAUGAUCAGCCACACUGGAACUGAGACACGGUCCAGACUCCUACGGGAGGCAGCAGUAGGGAAUAUUGGACAAUGGGGGCAACCCUGAUCCAGCCAUGCCGCGUGAGUGAAGAAGGCCCUCGGGUUGUAAAGCUCUUUUGUCCGGAAAGAAAGCAUUCGGUUAAUACCCGGGUGUUCUGACGGUACCGGAAGAAUAAGCACCGGCUAACUACGUGCCAGC